UGGGGAAUUUUGGACAAUGGGCGAAAGCCUGAUCCAGCAAUGCCGCGUGUGUGAAGAAGGCCUUCGGGUUGUAAAGCACUUUUGUCCGGAAAGAAAUCCUUGGCUCUAAUACAGUCGGGGGAUGACGGUACCGGAAGAAUAAGCACCGGCUAACUACGUGCCAGCAGCCGCGGUAAUACGUAGGGUGCAAGCGUUAAUCGGAAUUACUGGGCGUAAAGCGUGCGCAGGCGGUUUGCUGAGACCGAUGUGAAAUCCCCGGGCUCAACCUGGGAACUGCAUUGGUGACUGGCAGGCUAGAGUAUGGCAGAGGGGGGUAGAAUUCCACGUGUAGCAGUGAAAUGCGUAGAGAUGUGGAGGAAUACCGAUGGCGAAGGCAGCCCCCUGGGCCAAUACUGACGCUCAUGCACGAAAGCGUGGGGGAGCAAACAGGAUUAGAUACCCUGGUAGUCCAGCGCCCUAAACGAUGUCAACUAGUUGUUGGGGAUUCAUUUCCUUAGUAACGUAGCUAACGCGUGAAGUUGACCGCCUGGGGGAGUACGGUCGCAAGAUUAAAACUC
rnacentral:rRNA from 1 species